rnacentral:rRNA from 1 species
GAGUUUGAUCAUGGCUCAGGAUGAACGCUAGCGGCAGGCUUAACACAUGCAAGUCGAGGGGCAGCGAGGGUAAUAGCAAUAUUACUUGUCGGCGACCGGCGCACGGGUGCGUAACGCGUAUGCAACCUACCAUCAACAGGGGGAUAACACUGAGAAAUUGGUACUAAUACCCCAUAAUAUCUCAUGCGGCAUCGCAUGGGGUUGAAAACUCCGGUGGUUGAUGAUGGGCAUGCGUUGUAUUAGCUGGUUGGUGAGGUAACGGCUCACCAAGGCGACGAUACAUAGGGGGACUGAGAGGUUAACCCCCCACAUUGGUACUGAGACACGGACCAAACUCCUACGGGAGGCAGCAGUGAGGAAUAUUGGUCAAUGGACGCAAGUCUGAACCAGCCAUGCCGCGUGCAGGAUGACGGCUCUAUGAGUUGUAAACUGCUUUUGUACGAGGGUAAACCCCGAUACGUGUAUCGGGUUGAAAGUAUCGUACGAAUAAGGAUCGGCUAACUCCGUGCCAGCAGCCGCGGUAAUACGGAGGAUCCGAGCGUUAUCCGGAUUUAUUGGGUUUAAAGGGUGCGUAGGCGGUUUGAUAAGUUAGAGGUGAAAUGUCGGGGCUCAACCCCGAAACUGCCUCUAAUACUGUUGGACUAGAGAAUAGUUGCGGUAGGCGGAAUGUAUGGUGUAGCGGUGAAAUGCUUAGAGAUCAUACAGAACACCGAUUGCGAAGGCAGCUUACCAAACUAUAUCUGACGUUGAGGCACGAAAGCGUGGGUAGCAAACAGGAUUAGAUACCCUGGUAGUCCACGCAGUAAACGAUGAUAACUCGUUGUCGGCGAUACACAGUCGGUGACUAAGCGAAAGCGAUAAGUUAUCCACCUGGGGAGUACGUUCGCAAGAAUGAAACUCAAAGGAAUUGACGG